UGCUUGCUCGAGCCCCCCCCCCCCCCUCUUUCCUCCUGCUUUUCUUCUUGGUAUAAUCUCAUCCCCCAUCUCCUACCGAUUCUCCCUCCGCAUCGCCGCUACCGCCGCAACACCACUGAAUCACUCAAUCACCAAUCUCCCUCCAAUGGGUGCGUCCUUUUGCACUGCUUUUAUACAUUUCCAGGUAAAUGAGAUUGCAUGGGACAUACUGGAGAAAGUUCUUUCUGACAUCUGGAAGUGGUAUUGUCGAAGUCAUUUCAUACCCCUCAUUAAAGGCACUUGCCACCCUUACCGCUCACUUUGCUGGCGGUUAUUGCAUUGCAAUUGAUCCACUAGGAAGGUUCCCACAAUGGCCCUUGAGAAGGUUUUUAUAGCAAAAAACACAUCAGUGGUUCAGGAUGAGGUUCUUGCACACAGAUUGGGGCUUAUUCCCUUGAGAGUUGAUCCAAGGAUGUUUUCUUAUAAGUCAGAAAAGGAUGAACCAAAUGAGAAAAAUACCAUUGUUUUUGGACUUCAUGCUCAGUGUAACCGAGGUGAACCACGACGUUCAGUCAAGUCAGAAGAACUGAAGUGGCUGCCAAAUGGGAGUAUGUUCUUGUUGGAUAUAGAAAAUAAAGAGUCAAGUUCAACCACGACACCCAGAACUUAUACUAAUUUUAAGUCUAGCCAGGAAAUGCAACCUGAACUAUCUGAAAAUCUAAUUCAUCCUAAGAAUCCUGAUAUCACUAUUGCUAGAUUUGGGCCAGGACAGCAAUCUUGUCAUCUGUCCAGGAAAUCGAACUUGAAGUACAUGCUGUUAAAGGUGUUGGCAAAGAGCACGCAAAGUGGUCUCCAGUUGCCACUGCUUGGUACCGGAUGCUUCAUGAGGUUGUUCUCUUGCAAGAUAUUUGUGACGAGGAGGCAGAAAAGCUGGUUGAAUAAUGUCCAGCUAAUGUUUUUGACAUAAAAGACACUCCAACUGGUAAAAAAGCAACAGCCCCACGACCAAGGGCCUGCACCCUUUGCAGAGAAUGCAUUCGAGAGGAAGGAUGGGACGAAAAGAUUGCCCUGCGACGGAAGAAAGAUCAUUUUAUAUGUAAGUUUUGCUCAUCCAAUGAUAAAAUGUUAUGUGCUUUGAAAAUGUUGCUUCCUGUUAUUUUUCUAAUGCUUCUUCAUUCAGUAACUUCCUUUGUGUACCGAAAAAUCUUGUACUCCACUCCGUAUAUAGUUGGAGCUACAGGUUUCAUCUUUGUGUCUUUUACUUCUCGGUGAAGUGUUUUUUCGAGGGGUACUGUUUUAGUUUGAGAAUUUACGAUAUGAAAAGUUCAAAGUUCACAUCCCGUUGUAGAGGGAAUUGCAUUGUCUUUCACGGGAUCAUACUGAAGCUCUUAGUCAGUUUGUCAAGACAAGAAAUUUCUCGGGAUUCUUUCAAAAGGCUUAUCUGGUGAGAUUGCUAAAACUGAUCAAUAAUGCCUAUGUCGUUUCAAGAAAAACCUAAUAAUGAAUAUAUGUAGCUUCCCAUGUAUGUUUCCAUCUGGUCUUGUUGGCAGAUAAAGUGAUGGAUUAUUCUGCCUUUUCUAUUCUAUGUUAUCGCCGUGACCAUCACUUGCUUCAGGUGCAUGCCAUUAAUAUAUUUGCAAAUUAUGUUGCUCUGUACGUGCCCAAAUGAAAGCUUCUUGUAAUUACAUGAUAUAGAGGAGUAAGUUUAGGGAUAUACAGGAGUAAGAUACUGCACUUGAAGUUUGAGAGCACAAUACUACUUUCCCGUGUUUUAUAUGAGGAAGAGUUUAAAGACUUUCUCCCUUUCAUGUUCAGAUAAUUGCUUUGUUUAAUUUCUUGUGCUCCAUCAAUAUAAAAAGGGGUGCAUAUUGAUCAGUUAUGCAUCUUUGUAUUUAAGACAAGCUAAAAUAAAACUGAAUUUGAUGGUAUUCAUUUCCUACUUCAAGAUUUAAAUAUCUUUGCUUAGAUUACCUGUGACUUGGGCAGCUUGAUCUGUUUAUUUUGUUGAUUGUUUUGCUUGGUUUGUAAUAAUCAAUGAUUUGUUGGGGUUAAGGUUGAAGAUUUUUCUGUGAAUGAAGAAGUAAUGGAGCGGUCAAAUACGCUUCGAGAGAGGAGAUCAACUUGAGGGAUUUGCUGAGGAAAUUGAGAGGUAAGAGAUCCAUUAAGGUGCCUGUAAUAAGUAACAAGAAUGCAGCCACUCCUGAUGAUUUUUUCAUGGAGAAAGUAUGGGCAGAAACCAAUCUAGGGGCCACCCCAUCCAAGGUAGACUUAUUUUGAGCACUUUCCAUGUGUAUAUGUUUGUUCCAACUUGCUCAAUUAAUAGUCAGUAAAGUUUAAAUAGUUUUCUAACUUUGAUCUUAGUUCCUAAUUGUAUUUUCAUCCUUGCUCCCCUGAUUUGCCUGAAGAAGUAAGUCUGAUUGCUAUAUUUGUUUAAUAGGCCCUCAAAUCUGCUGAGUUCUGACGUUUUGUCCUUAAUAAAGUAAGGAUAAAUUGUUUUUUAUCAUCUAAAAGUCAAAAAUUAUUUUCUACCACCUAAAAAACUAAUACUUGCAUUUUACCACCUAAAGAAAAUUUGAAACUUGUUUUUUACCACCUGAAAUAUGGAAAAAUAGAUGGAAAUGUUAUGUGCGGGGCCACAAUAACGGUAAUAUUUCUAAUAUGUUCUCUUCGAUCUUCAACAAUUUCAUGUAUUUAACCCUCGCUUCUUUAUCGUCCAUGAAUUUACAUAAAUUUUCACAACUAUUAUUUCACAUAAUUGACAAAAUUUAAUGGAAAUAAAGAAAGAAAGGUGAAAGAGUUAAAGAAAAAUCACACAAGGAUUGUAAAAAAUUGGAAGGAAAUUGAACUACGUAGCCACUUUUUCCAUUUUUAGGCGGUGAAAAACAAUUUUUAAUUUUUUUUGGGGUAAAAUAAAAGUUUGCCACACUUUGUUAAAAGCCGUAUAGCCCAACCCCAACCCAACGCAGCGAACUCAGUUGCCGGAGUAGAGAUUUUAAUUGGAACCUCCUCUCUGAUUUCGCGAACCAAAAACUAUGGUAAGCAAUUGUCUGCUUCAAUUACUUCGAAAUUACAACCAAAAUUCACAUCAACUUAUUGUUUUAGGGCAGUUUCCAUCAAAUUAGAAGUUCUGACAAUUUUUUGGGUAUUUAUCAGGACAUUUUUAGGAAAGCCUUGUUAAAUUUGGAGCCCCCGGGAAAAAUUGCUCUUCAAACUGUUCAGGGAGCCAUUAAACCCCAGGUGAUUUAUUUCCCCACAUUAUUCAAUUGCAUUUCUUGUUAACAGGGUUAUUAUUUCUGCAACUUUCGAUUUAUUUCCAUAGAAAUACUUUUUGGAGCAUUGUAUUAUCUAUGUGUUUUAAUGGGCAAUUUCAUACUUUCUGCGAAUCGUGUAGAUCAGCUUUUUUUUUACUUCAAUUGAUGAAAAAAGGGAAAAAAAUGCAAAAAUGUUAUUUGGUUCCUGCUGUAUGUAACUGGCAAUGAUUUAGUUUAUAUCCAUUAAGCUAAUUAGAAUUUCUAUUUUUUAAAAUAAAUUUAUGAUCUUGGUGGAAUUUGGCGAAGUACUAGCUUUUCGGCAUGUUGCAUUUAUAAAAUAUAUAUACUCCCACUGUUCUAAGAGAAUAGUCACCUGUGGUAGUUUAGGAUGGAAGAAGUCACUUUUCCCAGUGUAGUGUUGGCUUAUGAUUUAUUUUACAAUACGCCACUACUUGUACGAGUGACGGGGAGAUGAUGGAAAUGGUUCAACUAUUUCCGGAUGGAGGGAUUAUUUUUAGAUUGUUAAGGAGACCUCCCUAUAAGGAUAUGAGAGCAACUUAAUAUUCAUCUCCUUUGUAAUAUAUCUGAAGUUCUGAACAAUACACUAACUAUUAUCUGCGAUAGAUAGUGCUUGCAUAAAACGUUGAAAAAAAUAUGUUGUUUGAAUUUGUUGUUCUCAUUUUCCGUUUAUUUAUUGAAUCUCUGAUUUAUUUGUUGAUUUUAGUACUUCAGUAUCCCCAUAUCUGAAUUCAUUAUUUUGUAAUAUGGAAACUUAAUUUCUUCAUUGUUUCCACUGCCAAUGUCUUUAUUUGUUCGUCUUUAUGGUAAAAUCGUACCAGCGCGUCUCCUGUGAGACCAGUCACACCAUCAACUUGAUGGUGUGACGAGCGCGAAACCAAUAGCGUACCUCCCCUAAAACUAUAAAAAAAAGUAACAGAUCUAAACUAUAGCCGUAAAAUACCUAAAUUAAAAAAGUACCUCCUCUAAAAUUAUAUAUAUAUAAAAAAAGUAACAUGUAUAAACUAUAUAAGUAACAUACCUAAACUAAAAAUGUACCUCCCCUAAAACUAUUUCGUAUAAAAUAAAAGUAACAUGUCUAAACUAUAGAAGUAACAUACCUAAACUAAAAAAGUAACUCAUUUAAAAUUAUAAAAAAAAAGUAACAUGCCUAAAUUAUAGAAGUAACAUACCUAAACUAAAAAAAAUACCUCCUCUAAAAUUAUUAAAAAAAAAGUAACAUGUCUAAACUAUAGAAGUAACAUACUUAACUAAGAAGGUAUCUCUCCUAAAACUAGUCCGUAUAAAAAAAAGUAACAUGUAUAAACUAUAGAAGUAACAUACCUAAACUAAAAAAAGUACCUUCUCUUAAGUUAUAAAAAAAGUAACAUGUCUAAACUAUAGAAGUAACAUAACUAAACUAAGAAGGUAUCUCCCCUAAAACUACUCCGUAUAAAAAAAAGUAACAUGUAUGAACUAUAAAAGUAACAUACCUAAACUAAAAAAAAUACCUCCUCUAAAAUUAUAAAAAACAGUAAUAUAUCUAAACUAUAGAAGUAACAUACCUAAAUUCGCAAAUGUGAACUGGUCUCACCAUCAGUUAAUGGUGAGGACAGUCUCAUAUAAGAAUUUGGGAAAUCGUACAGUGAUUUGAACGAGUAUUAAAUUAAAAUAUGCAGGCUAGAAAUUAGAAGUAGUAUACUGGGAAGGUGUCUAUAUAUUCUUCUUAUUUGGCUUUUAGAGGAACAUAGAAAUGGUUAUACAUUUAUAAAGUGUCUUUUCGUUAUUCUUCUUUAUGCCCAUUAAUUAAGUUAAAAUAGUUCAACAUUAUAUGUUUGAUAGUGAUGUAGACAACUUUUUUUAAUGCUCACAGUUUACAAUAUACGGAGUACGUUUAACCCGAUGCUCGGGUUUUUUUGGAAACUGAUUAUGAUGUUUUAGAAUACUUGAUUGUAUAUUUUGAUCAUAAAUCAUAAAUACUUCUCGCGAUUUUUUGGUUGGUUUGCCUGAUAAUUUUUUUUCUAAUUUAUUUUAUUGUCUUACUACAGAAAUAGUUUUUUGUUUUUGGCAAAGUGAAGAAUUACAGUGUGCAGACUUGACAUGGUGAUCAAGAAGCGCCUGUCAUUUUUUGGUUUUUUUUAUCUUCUGUUUUAUGUAAUUGAAUGUUUGAUGUUAUAUGAAGUUGCUAAUUGUAAUAGAUUUUUUUAUUUUAAUGAAAGCUAAUUGUAUUGAUAGUAA